rnacentral:rRNA from 1 species
AACGUAGGAGACAAACGUUAUCCGGAGUUACUGGGCGUAAAGGGCGUGUAGGCGGUUUCGUAAGUCUGGCGUGAAAUUUUUCGGCUUAACCGGGAAAGGUCGUCGGAUACUGCGGAACUAGAGGACGGUAGAGGCGUGUGGAAUUCCGGGUGUAGUGGUGAAAUGCGUAGAGAUCCGGAGGAACACCAGUGGCGAAGGCGACACGCUGGGCCGUACCUGACACUGAGGAGCGAAAGCGUGGGGAGCGAACAGG